UUUGAGUGGAGCAAUUCCUGCAUCUUUGGCUAACAUGACACUGCUUGCCUUCCUGGACCUGUCAUACAACAAUCUAAGUGGUCCAGUACCAAGGUUGCCUGCCAAGACCUUCAAAUGCUCAAACUGCUAGGAGACCCAAAAACCAUAAAAUUGCUUUAGCCUUUGCUUCAAGCCUGGGCUGCAUUUGUCUACUAAUUCUUGGGUUUGGUUUCCUUCUUUGGUGGAGGUACAGACACAACCAGCAAAUUUUCUUUGACGUCAACGGUUAGUAAACCUAACUCAUUUUUU